UGCGGGGUGGAGCAGUCUGGUAGCUCGUCGGGCUCAUAACCCGAAGGUCACAGGUUCAAAUCCUGUCUCCGCUACCA
rnacentral:tRNA from 8 species